GUGGUUGUUCUUUCUCUACGCCAAGCUGCUUGAUGGGUCUGUGGGUAUCCUCCACUUUCCGCAUCCCAAUAGAGGAACCCUGCGACUUGAUGGAUCCACGAGGGUUCCCCAGGGUGCCAGAUGGAGAAUUCUUGGUGAGAGCAGCAACCUCCUUUGUUGCGGAAAGGGAGACUGAGGCUUGUCCUAGAGGGGCGAAGCACACUGGGCAUGCGCGAUGAGAGCAGCCGAGCGCCCUUCGAAACGUCCUCCAUAGGCACACCACGUGGCCUUAACCUGCGGCCGGGGAGUAACGGACGAGGAAAGUCUAAGGAUCGGAAAGGAACAUUUGAUACUGACCAUGAGUUGAAAAGAGGAUGAUAUGAUUGGCUUGUGAUCUUCAGUGCUCAAAAGCAAGUCUUGAAGCACACGCCUGACAAAGAUACCUGCUUGGUUUCUGCUGGAUCAGAUUUUAUCAGAAGCCACCUGCUGGACCUCUACAAGAUAUUUGGCGAGUUCUUUCAGAAAAAGCUGAAGCAAAUCACUUUGGUUUUCAAUUAUCUGGGUAUGGGGCAUUGCAUAAGCAUGGUGCAGGGCAACAUGUAUCACUAUUCUUCUAUGUAUUACUAGUUUUUUGUUACAUGAAGGAAAACACUGGGAAAAACUAUCAAUAAAAAAUGUAUAAAUACAAAUUGAA